GGAAGAAGCGAAAGUGACGGUACCUGCAGAAGAAGCACCGGCUAACUACGUGCCAGCAGCCGCGGUAAUACGUAGGGUGCGAGCGUUAUCCGGAAUUAUUGGGCGUAAAGAGCUCGUAGGCGGUUUGUCGCGUCUGUCGUGAAAGUCCGGGGCUUAACCCCGGAUCUGCGGUGGGUACGGGCAGACUAGAGUGCAGUAGGGGAGACUGGAAUUCCUGGUGUAGCGGUGGAAUGCGCAGAUAUCAGGAGGAACACCGAUGGCGAAGGCAGGUCUCUGGGCUGUAACUGACGCUGAGGAGCGAAAGCAUGGGGAGCGAACAGGAUUAGAUACCCUGGUAGUCCAUGCCGUAAACGUUGGGCACUAGGUGUGGGGACCAUUCCACGGUUUCCGUGCCGCAGCUAACGCAUUAAGUGCCCCGCCUGGGGAGUACGGCCGCAAGGCUAAAACUCAAAGGAAUUGACGGGGGCCCGCACAAGCGGCGGAGCAUGCGGAUUAAUUCGAUGCAACGCGAAGAACCUUACCAAGGCUUGACAUGUUCUCGAUCGCCGUAGAGAUACGGUUUCCCCUUUGGGGCGGGUUCACAGGUGGUGCAUGGUUGUCGUCAGCUCGUGUCGUGAGAUGUUGGGUUAAGUCCCGCAACGAGCGCAACCCUCGUUCCAUGUUGCCAGCACGUCGUGGUGGGGACUCAUGGGAGACUGCCGGGGUCAACUCGGAGGAAGGUGAGGACGACGUCAAAUCAUCAUGCCCCUUAUGUCUUGGGCUUCACGCAUGCUACAAUGGCCGGUACAAUGGGUUGCGAUACUGUGAGGUGGAGCUAAUCCCAAAAAGCCGGUCUCAGUUCGGAUUGGGGUCUGCAACUCGACCCCAUGAAGUCGGAGUCGCUAGUAAUCGCAGAUCAGCAACGCUGCGGUGAAUACGUUCCCGGGCCUUGUACACACCGCCCGUCAAGUCACGAAAGU
rnacentral:rRNA from 1 species